UACGGAAGGCAGCAGUGGGGAAUAUUGCACAAUGGGCGCAAGCCUGAUGCAGCCAUGCCGCGUGUAUGAAGAAGGCCUUCGGGUUGUAAAGUACUUUCAGUCGUGAGGAAGGUGUUAAGGUUAAUAACCUUAGCAAUUGACGUUAGCGACAGAAGAAGCACCGGCUAACUCCGUGCCAGCAGCCGCGGUAAUACGGAGGGUGCGAGCGUUAAUCGGAAUUACUGGGCGUAAAGGGCACGCAGGCGGUUAAUUAAGUUGGAUGUGAAAUCCCCGGGCUUAACCUGGGAAUGGCAUUCAAGACUGGUUAGCUAGAGUCUUGUAGAGGGGGUAGAAUUCCAUGUGUAGCGGUGAAAUGCGUAGAGAUGUGGAGGAAUACCGGUGGGCGAAGGCGGCCCCUGGGACAAAGGACUGACGCUCAUGUGCGAAAGCGUGGGGAGCAAAACAGGGAUUAGAUACC
rnacentral:rRNA from 1 species